rnacentral:rRNA from 1 species
UGCUUACACAUGCAGUCGAACGGAGAACUUAGCAAUAGGUUCUUAGUGGCGAACGGGUGAGUAACGCGUAGACAACCUGCCUCAAAGAUGGGGACAACACCGCGAAAGUGGUGCUAAUACCGAAUGUUGCAUUAGAUUCGCAUGAAUCUGAUACUAAAGGUGGCCUCUUUAAAUGCUACCGCUUUGAGAUGGGUCUGCGUCUGAUUAGCUAGUUGGUGAGGUAACAGCUCACCAAGGCGAUGAUCAGUAGCCGGUCUGAGAGGAUGAACGGCCACACUGGGACUGAGACACGGCCCAGACUCCUACGGGAGGCAGCAGUGGGGAAUCUUCCGCAAUGGACGAAAGUCUGACGGAGCAACGCCGCGUGAGUGAAGAAGGUUUUCGGAUCGUAAAGCUCUGUCUUUGAGGACGAAUGUGCUUAAUGUAAAUAAUGUUAAGUAAUGACGGUACUCGAGGAGGAAGCCACGGCUAACUACGUGCCAGCAGCCGCGGUAAUACGUAGGUGGCAAGCGUUGUCCGGAAUUAUUGGGCGUAAAGCGCGCGCAGGCGGGAUAUUAAGUCUGUCUUAAAAGUUCGGGGCUCAACCCCGUGAUGGGAUGGAAACUAAUAUUCUUGAGUGCAGGAGAGGAAAGUGGAAUUCCCAGUGUAGCGGUGAAAUGCGUAGAUAUUGGGAGGAACACCAGUGGCGAAGGCGACUUUCUGGACUGUGUCUGACGCUGAGGCGCGAAAGCCAGGGGAGUGAACGGGAUUAGAUACCCCGGUAAUCCUGGCCGUAAACGAUGGGUACUAGGUGUAGGAGGUAUCGACCCCUUCUGUGCCGGAGUUAACGCAAUAAGUACCCCGCCUGGGAGUACGGCCGCAAGGUUGAAACUCAAAGGAAUUGACGGGGGCCCGCACAAGCGGUGGAGUAUGUGGUUUAAUUCGACGCAACGCGAAGAACCUUACCAGGACUUGACAUCGAUUGAAAGUUCUAGAGAUAGAACCCUUCUCUUCGGAGAACAGAGACAGUGGUGCAUGGCUGUCGUCAGCUCGUGUC